AUUGAACGCUGGCGGCAGGCCUAACACAUGCAAGUCGAACGAGAGGCGGACGGGUGAGUAAUGUCUGGGAAACUGCAUGAUGGAGGGGGAUAACUACUGGAAACGGUAGCAAAUACCGCAUACCAUCAGAUGGGCCCAGAUGGGAUGAGCUUGUUGGUGGGGUAACGGCUCACCAAGGCGAAGAUCCCUAGCAGGUCUGAGAGGAUGACCAGCCACACUGGAACGGAGACACGGUCCAGACUCCAACGGGAGGCAGCAGUGGGGAAUAUUGCACAAUGGGCGAAAGCCUGAUGCAGCAAUGCCGCGGGUAUGAAGAAGGCCUUCGGGUUGUAAAGUACUUUCGGUGGGGAGGCGUUACCCGCCGAAGAAGCACCGGCUAACUCCGUGCCAGCAGCCGCGGUAAUAC
rnacentral:rRNA from 1 species